rnacentral:rRNA from 1 species
CGCCUUGCCAGCCCGCUCAGAAACUUAAAGGAAUUGAGGGGGCCCGCACAAGCGGUGGAGCAUGUGGUUUAAUUCGAUGAUACGCGAGGAACCUUACCUGGGCUCAAAUGUAUGUUGACGUAUUCUGAAAGGGAUACUUCUUCGGACAAUAUACAAGGUGCUGCAUGGUUGUCGUCAGCUCGUGCCGUGAGGUGUCGGGUUAAGUCCCAUAACGAGCGCAACCCCUAUCAUUAGUUGCCAUCAGGUCAAGCUGGGGACUCUAAUGAAACUGCCUACGCAAGUAGUGAGGAAGGUGGGGAUGACGUCAAAUCAGCACGGCCCUUACGUCCAGGGCUACACACGUGCUACAAUGGCCGGUACAAAGGGCAGCUACCUGGUGACAGGAUGCUAAUCUCAAAAGCCGGUCUCAGUUCGGAUCGGAGUCUGCAACCCGACUCCGUGAAGUCGGAAUCGCUAGUAAUCGUGAAUCAGAAUGUCACGGUGAAUACGUUCCCGGGCCUU